GAUGAACGCUGGCGGCGUGCCUAAUACAUGCAAGUCGAGCGAACAGAUGCUGCGCUUGCUCCUCUGACGUUAGCGGCGGACGGGUGAGUAACACGUGUAUAACCUACCUAUAUGACUGGGAUAACUUCGGGAAACCGGAGCUUAUACCGGAUAAUAUAUUGAACCGCAGGGUUCAAUGGUGAGAGACGGUUUUGCUGUCACUUAUAGCUGGAUCUGCGCCGCAUUAGCUAGUUGUUAAGGUAACGGCCUACCAAGGCAACUAUGCGUAACCGACCUGAGAGGCUGAUCGGCCACACUGGAGCGGAGACACGGUCCAGACUCCUACGGGAGGCCGCAGUCUGCAACCUUCCGCAAUAGGCGAAAGCCUGACGGAACAACGCCGCGUGAGUGAUGACGGUCUUCGGAUCGUAAUACUCUGUUAUUAGUGAAGAACCAAUGUGUAAGUAACUAUGCACGUCUUGACGGUACCUAAUCAGAAAGCAACGGCUAACUACGUG
rnacentral:rRNA from 1 species